AGUUCCGUAGUGGACCUGCGGAAGGAUCAUUAAAGAGACGUUGCCCUUCGGGGUAUACCUCCCACCCAUUGUUUAUUAUACCUUUGUUGCUUUGGCAGACCCGGCUUCGGCCCACCGGCUCCGGCUGGUCAGUGUCUGCCAGAGGACCUAAAACUCUGUUUGUUAAUAUUGUCUGAGUACUAUAUAAUAGUUAAAACUUUCAACAACGGAUCUCUUGGUUCUGGCAUCGAUGAAGAACGCAGCGAAAUGCGAUAAGUAAUGUGAAUUGCAGAAUUCAGUGAAUCAUCGAAUCUUUGAACGCACAUUGCGCCCUCUGGUAUUCCGGGGGGCAUGCCUGUUCGAGCGUCAUUACAACCCUCAAGCUUUGCUUGGUAUUGGACAUUGCCAGUUUCUGGCAGGUCUUAAAAUCAGUGGCGGUGCCAUUUGGCUUCAAGCGUAGUAAUUCUUCUCGCUUCGGAGAUCCAGGUGGUUACUUGCCAAUAACCCCCAAUUUUUUCAGGUUGACCUCGGAUCAGGUAGGGAUACCCGCUGAACUUAAGCAUAUCAAUAAGCGGAGGAAAAGAAACCAACAGGGAUUACCUCAGUAACGGCGAGUGAAGCGGUAACAGCUCAAAUUUGAAAUCUGGCAGCAAUGUCCGAGUUGUAAUUUGUAGAGGAUGUUUCGAGCAUGGUCUGGCCUAAGUUCCUUGGAACAGGACGUCAUAGAGGGUGAGAAUCCCGUAUGCGGUCAGGUGCCUACGCUCAUGUGAAACUCCUUCGACGAGUCGAGUUGUUUGGGAAUGCAGCUCAAAAUGGGUGGUAAAUUUCAUCUAAAGCUAAAUAUUGGCCAGAGACCGAUAGCGCACAAGUAGAGUGAUCGAAAGAUGAAAAGCACUUUGGAAAGAGAGUUAAACAGUACGUGAAAUUGUUGAAAGGGAAGCGCUUGCAACCAGACUUGCACGCAGUUAAUCAUCCGCUGUUCUCAGUGGUGCACUUGAUUGCGUUCAGGCCAGCAUCGGUUUUGGUGGUGGGAUAAAGGCCUUAGGAAUGUAGCUGCUUUCGGGCAGUGUUAUAGCCUAGGGUGCAAUGCCGCCUACUGGGACCGAGGACCGCGCUUCGGCUAGGAUGCUGGCGUAAUGGUUGUAAGCGACCCGUCUUGAAACACGGACCAAGGAGUCUAACAUCUAUGCGAGUGUUUGGGUGUCAAACCCAUACGCGUAAUGAAAGUGAACGGAGGUCAGAACCCUUAAGGGUGCAUGAUCGACCGGUCCUGAAGUCUUCGGAUGGAUCUGAGUAAGAGCAUAGCUGUUGGGACCCGAAAGAUGGUGAACUAUGCCUGAAUAGGGUGAAGCCAGAGGAAACUCUGGUGGAGGCUCGCAGCGGUUCUGACGUGCAAAUCGAUCGUCAAAUUUGGGUAUAGGGGCGAAAGACUAAUCGAACCAUCUAGUAGUGGGUUCCUGCG
rnacentral:sRNA from 1 species